UGGGAAUUUGGUUAAAUUGUGAUAGAACUUUCAAAAAUUUUAGAACAACACUUUCAAGAAGAAAGAGAACAAAAAAAAAACAAUUCUCCUCUAUUUACAAGGAACAAGUCUAUCUCUAACUCAAAGAACAAUAUGUUGGAUAAUCAUCAUUGGAGCCCAGACGUCACAUUGAUGAAGGUAUCUUCAGGACAAGGGAUCGUUAAGCCACCCAUUGGAUGAUGGAACCCAAACUCUUCUUCAGAUUUUCUGAGAAGAGCUUGAAACGAAGGCUGGCUCAAGUAUGAGACUGGCACCACAUAUCUCUUCUUCUGGCUCUCUCCUACGUACACCGCAAGAAACCCUUUUGGUACCGUAGAGGCUGCCCUUUUGCCUGUUGCGGCUGCUUCUGUUACAGAGCGUCCAAGAAUCUUCUUUGCACCCAAUAGACUUCUUACUAAAGCCAUUUAUAGUUCGUUUGUCUGAAUUUUUUUUAACUUUGAAGCUUUUAAAGAGAUGUAUGAAAAGAUGCAAGUUAUUAAAUUGCUUGUUGUUGGUUGCUGAUAGAAAGAAUGGGUUAUGUGUUUAUAUAGAAAGAUCAAUGGAUAUAAUGAGUUGCAAUCUCUCCAAAUAAUCUUUGAAACUUGUGGUUUUUGAAGCGUGGGACAGACUAGAACAGAGUUGCACAUGGUUCUGUCUUGACCAUUUGGAAAAAGUUUAGUUUAAUGCAAUUUGUCUUGAUGAUAUGAGUGUGGGGAAAUAAACUAAAGAAAAAAGAAAUCCAUACGCAAUUCACGAGGGCUUGUUUUCUCAAUGUUUUGUUAGAUAAGACAUGUUUUUUGUCAAUAAUAAAGACAAGCAAGUUUCUGUUCUUCAUGUUCUGUGAUGAUCCUAGCUAUGCCCUCACCUCUGUGGUCUAAAUGGAUUUAAUAAGAACUUAGAGUGGGAACCUGAAGUUUCUCAACAACAGAACAACAAGUCUAUGUUUUGUAAUGAACUUCUUGUGGGUUUUAUGUCCUAUAUAUAUUCUCAAAACUGAAUGGCAGAAGAAAUAAAGAUCACAAGAAGAAAAGAAAAACAGACACAAGAGAUUCAUAUAGAAUUAAAAGUGUCAUUGACAGGGGAAACAGAAACAAAGGAGAUUGAGAGCAAUGAACGAUGAAUAGACGUGGACGGAUUUUACGUACAAAGAAGACACGAGACUCUCGACGUGAUUUGGGAAAAUACUCAGAUCGUGUAUCUUGUGUUUACCAAGUCCAUAACGGAGUCUAAAAUCAUCACCCACAAUUCCUUCAAACAAGAGGUUUCUCUGAUACUAUUUCUCCUCGGAUCAAAAUAUAGAAUAUAAAACGAUUCAGACAAACUGGAUGGUGCAAAGACAAGCUCACCAGCAUCAGUAAUACCACGGAAACGUAGAAAAUCCCUCCCUUUCAUUUGAUCUCUCUCACAAGGUACAAGAAAGCGUUGAUGCAUCCAGAGGAUCCCCUUUGUAUUUUCAUACUAAAAUUAAAAUACGUAUCUUUCACCGCUUUAUGCUAAAUUAUUUUAUUGAAACAUAUUUUUUGUUUUCUGGCCGAAAACAUUAUAUGCAAAUAAAAUUUAGGGACCUUAAAAUAUCAUAUUUAUACAAAAAUUAAGAAAUUAGUCUAUAUAUACUUUGAAAAACAUUAGUCUAUUGUUCUGUGGGUUGCGUACAUUGCAAGAAACCCAUAUGGUAUCCUCCGAGGCUGAGCUCCGCUAGUUCUGGCCGCGGCUGCUAUAGAGUAUAAAGUGUCUAACAAUCCUCUUUAAUUGCAACUAGUAGAGUUCGGAUCAAAGCCAUUUCUUUAUCUGGUCUGAAUUUUUUUAGUUUUCUUAGCUAAAAUUCACAAUGUUUUGUCUUCCAAGAUAAAAAUGAAUGUGAAACUAAAAUACAAACAAUGAAAGCUAACGAGCCUGAAGGUUCAUAAAAUCAAAAAUCUAACGAGCCUUCAAAUGUUUUUUCAUUGUAUUCAUUAUAUUCAACGGUGGUCUUAUUUAAACACCAGAGCCAAAGCCAAUGGAACAAACUAAAGCUAGCAUUCUCUCAUCAUGAGGUACCAAAAAUAAAAACAGUGAUCAUUGUAUUCAAACUAAGAAAUAAUCAAAUUAUCAAAACCCCGCUCAUGGGAACACAUACAUAAGAGAAUCAUAAAGUUGCAUAAAUUAGGUGUCGUUCUAAUUAGGAAAAAAAAAAGAAAGAAAAUUUGUAGAAGCGCAUCUCUUUAUCAAGUCACAAGACUGUUGAUCUGACUGGGGAAAAUAUCAAUCUCGCGUAUAAUAAUAUGGUCUUCAAGUCUUAAUUCUUUUAUGAAUUGUGUCGUUUUUGUUCUUUUGUUCUGAUUUUUUUUCAAUGAAUUUCCUGUUUUUAUUCUUUUACUCCACCAAAUACCUCUUGCAAUGACCAAACAUAUAAGAAAGUCUAAAAUGGUUAAUGCACACUACCAAAAUCGAACAAGCAUCUUCUGGAGUGGAGUUACAGAUCCAGCUGAAAAAAAAAAAUCACUCUUUUAUGCGUUAACAUGAUGGUGUCCACUGCAGACAAAACAGCAUUCAGUACUUAUAACCUCUGUGAACAACUCUUUAAAAGAAGAAAGUGCCAAAAAUAAAAUCAUCUCAUUACAAAGGAAUUAGGCUCACAUGACAAAAUGCUAGAAACAGUGCGGACUCUGUUUUGACAGACUUGCCCAAUAGUCUGCUGUUAUACAUUGUUAUAUAAAAUGUUGGGAUAGAUCCAAAUUAAAGAAUGAUAACAAAUCAUGACAACGAAAACCCUAAAUACAUCAAACCUAAUCUUGAGAAAUCACAUUAAUGGUGGUGAAGAGCGCUCUUAGUUACAAGGAAAAGAGGCUCUCAAUGUGAUCCGGGAAAACAUUUAAAUCAUGGAAAGGACGGAAUCCAAGUCCUUUAAGUCGUCUAAAUUCAUCACAAGCAACUCCUUCAAACUUAGUUUCUCUUACGCUCUGUUUCUUUGGAUCAAAAUACACAACAUGGAACGAAUCAUAAAAACUACUCGGCGUAUAAAUAAGCUCACCGGCAUCGGUAACACCUUUGAAAUCGAACCAAAUCCAUUCUUGGUGAGACGACUGAGGGAAAACAAAGCGUUUAUACGACCAUUUCUUGUUCUCUGCAUCCUCCAAAACCCAUAUUUUAACAUCAUCAGGCAUGGAACUAACUAAACCUAACCUUCCCUCAUAAGUUACCAUCAAAACGUUACUGUGAUCAUCCAUCGGAAAUUCAAUCAAAUUGAACUUUUCUAAUCUGAGAUCAAAGCUCAUUAUGGCCUCCUUCAUAGUCAAACCAGAUUUAGCUAUAUAGUAGAGAACCCCGUUAACGCAUCGCGCCUUGUUACCUGAAGUAGGGGUACAACAAUGCAUAGGACUGGCUUUGAUCUUCCUCCAUGAUUCUUGAGCUCCCAAAGUAAGAACUCGAAUCUCUGUUUCUGGAAGAAAAAUCAGAACUUUGUAUUUACACUCGACCGGGUCAUAUCCCAAAAAGCCUCUUAGGUAGCUCAAGCUGCUUUCAGGUUUAGGUAAAGUGAAGAAGCGUCUUAUGGUUGGGUUCCAAAUCUCGAGAUUUGUAGGAGUCUCGAAGCAGAUCAAGCCGUGGACGGAAUCAGAACAGGACAAGUGACGAUCUUCAGGGUUUAUCGAUUCUUCGUAACGCUCCACUUGCGAAUAAGGAUCAUCAUCGACGGGGUUUUGGUGUUGAGGAAACGAGAAGACGAAUCGCGUCUCGCCUUUUUGGAAAAUCAUCAAAAGACACGGACUUGAUGAUGACAGAGCAGGGAACGGUUUGAUAAAAUCUGGAUUUGUGGUGAUUGAAGACCAGAGCUUAGAGACGGCGCGAGAUCUCACAAUUGAUUUCGCAGGAAGUCUUGAGAGAAUCUCCCACGCUAGAUCAGGAGGAAAAGAGCCUGAGAAUCUUCUCUCGGAGACUUGAUUUUGAUCAUCAUUUGAUGAGGACGUUCUCGACUGUUUAGAGCUCCGUUGUGUGUGCUUUGGGUAGAGUCCGUACGGACCGUACCACUGCAUGAGGAGGCGUAACGUUGGAGACUGUGAUGAUGUUUUGUGGAUCUCUUCCAUUUUCUCUUCCUCUGAAUCCAUGGCGGAUCGCCACACGAUUAUACCUUUCUCUUCAAGCCCUAAUUUUUUUCUUCCGAAUACUACCACGAUUUAUUUCCUUUUGCUUAAUUUUGUUUUACUAAAACUUUGUAGGAUUAAAAAUGCGUGUAUAAAAAUCUGUAUUUUGUAAAUAGGAUAAGAAUUACCGAUUAUGUGUCGUGUUGUUAGUAGUGUUUGGUGGGGACCGGAAAGUUUGAGGUUCAGACCGGUACUCAGACUUUCGAUUACGAUAAGUUAAAUUACCGAACCAUGGUACUAACUAAACCGCAGGAAAAGCGAAGGGGAAAUCUUAGAAUACCAAAAGACAAAAAGAUUUCCGGAUGAAGUUCGGGAUUUUGAACCCGACGUGAAUCGAACACGCAACCUUCUGAUCUGGAGUCAGACGCGCUACCAUUGCGCCACGGAUCCGGAUGAUAAGCAUAUACAUAUAGGAGUGAUUAACCGUCAGUUAUUUAUAAUUAAAGACUGUGGUACGUAAUUCGUCUUCGAAGAUCGUUCCAGAAUGUAUUUGACAUGAUCGUGUCGAUUGCAUGAAAAACGAAGUUCAAUUCUUAACCUUUUCGAAAAACUCUUUCAAGAAGAAAGAGUAAAAAUUCAUCUAUUUACAAUGAAUAAAUCUAUCUCUAAUUCGAAGAAGAAAAUGUUGGGAAAAUCAUCAUUGAAGCCGAGAAGUCACAUUGAUGAAAGUAUCUUCAGGACAAAGGAUCGUUAAGCAACCCAUUGGAUAUUGGAAGCCAAACUCUUCCUCGGAUUUACUGAGCAGAGCUUGAAAUGAAGGCUGGCUCAAGUAUGAGACUGGCACUACAUAUCUCUUCUUCUGGCUCUCUCCUACGUACACUGCAAGAAACCCUUUUGGCACCGCAGAGGCUGAUCUUUUGUUCGUAGAAGCUGCUGCCACGGAGAGGCCAAGAAUCUUCUUCGCACCCAAUAGACUUCUCACCAAAGCCAUUUCUAUAUUUUUUUUUCUUCUGAAAGUUUGAAUUCUUUUGAAGCUCUGAAGAUGUAUGAAAAGAUUAAAGUUGUUGAAUAUAUUGCUUGUUUGUUGUUUGAUUCUAGAAAGAAUAGGUUAUGUGUAUUAUAUAUAGAUCAAUUUAUGAGUUGAAACCUCUCUGAAACUUCCUUGAAACUUGUGGUCUAAAAGUGUGGGACAGACUAGAACCUAUCACAUGGUUCAGUCUUUUAUCUGGAAAAGAUGCAUUAAUGCAAUUUGUCUACUUAUUAUAUAAACACCAUAUUCAAUUCACAAGAGCUUGUUUUCUCAAUGUUUCUGAGAUAUCAUCAAAGAACAACUUGAACCAGUGACAGAGACUUGUUCUGUUGUUGAGAAACUUCAGGUCCCUACUUUAAGUUCUUAUUAACUCCAUUUAGGCCACAGAGAUGAGGGAAUAGGAUCAUCACAGAACAUGAAGAACAGAAACUUGCUUGUCUUUAUUAUUGACAAAAGCACGUCUUAUCUAAAAAAACAUUGAGAAAACAAGCCCUUGUGAAUUUUACUUUUGUUUUUAGUUUAUUGUCCUACACUCAAUUAAUUAUCUCAUAAAGACAAAUUGCAUUAAACUAUAACUUUAUCAGUUGGUAAAGACAGAACCAUGUGACUCUCUGUCCUAGUCUGUCCCACACUUCAAGACCACAAGUUUCAGAGAGUUUUCAGAGAAGUUUCAGCUCAUCCAUUGAUCUUUCUAUAUAUAUACAUAGCAUGACCCAUUCUUUCUAUCAUCAACCAAAAAACAAGCAAUAUUCAAAUAACUUGAAAUUUGUCAUACAUUUUCAGAAGUUUCAAAAGAAUUCAAACUUUCAGACAAAAGAACUAGAAAUGACUUUGUUGAGAACUCUAUUCGGUGCAAAGAAGAUUCUUGGCCGCUCUGUCGCAGCUGCUUCUACGAGUCAAAGAGCAGCCUUGUCGGCACCAAAAGGGUUUCUUGCGGUGUACGUAGGAGAGGGGCAGAAGAAGAGAUACGUGGUGCCAGUCUCAUACUUGAGCCAGCCUUCGUUUCAAGCUCUUCUCAGCAAAUCUGAAGAAGAGUUUGGGUUCCAUCAUCCAAUGGGUGGCUUAACGAUCCCUUGUCCUGAAGAUACCUUCAUCACUGUGACGUCUCAGCUCCAAUGAUGAAUAUCCAAAAUAUACUUCUUCGAGUUAGAGAUAGACUUGUUCCUUGUAAAUAGAGGAGAUUGUUUUUCCUCUUUCUUCUUGAAAGAGUUGUUCUACAAGUUUUGAAAGUGGAUACCAUUUUUAUGUUAUAGACAAAAUAAUGAUUCAUGUUAAAUUAAUACAUGUUGGCUCGAUCAUUGGACAAGAAAGGGCAACACCAAUUGAAGCACUAUUUUUUUUUUUUGGCUCAACAACUCAUUCAUUCAUAUCCAAAAGGUUUCUUACAAAUCACUAUUUAAUUAUACUUCAGUUGUUUUCAAAUAAAACUAAAUGAGAGUACUUAUCAUCCAUUGAAAUCUUUCAUCUAACAAAGAAAGAGAUGACGUUAAGUUAAACUGAGCAAUGCAAAGAGAUGAAAAGUAAACGGAUCGCAUUAAUAUUCUCCAUUCUUUUUAUCAACCAGAAAAAAUAUUACUUUAGGUUAUUAGCUUUCAGUUUUAGAGUUUUUAUAUAUUAAUUAUAUUCUUUUAACACUUAUGUUCAAUCUGCUAGAAAGUCGAAGUACAAGAAUCAUAGAGAAAUUAAUCAAGUUCUCCGAAUCUCUGCCUUAGCUAUCAAGACUUAUGUAUAAGUAUAACCCAUAUGAAAUGUUGUCUCAUAUUUCUUGUUCUGUUUCUUGAGUUUUGCUCUGUAACUCUCUAACCGUUUCCUCUGUCUCUCUUUAACCGUGGCUCAGUUUUUGUUUUUAAUCAGUUAGAUCCUAUGCAUUUUCUUUACUCUGUUUUUUUUUUCCUUUAUCUAGCAAACCUCAAAGAUCGAAAUAUUGAUUUUGCUCUUGAAAUGGUGAAGUGAAAGACACUUGUAAAUUAUUUACUUGGAACAAAAUUUCCAUUGACACCAUCAAUUCUUACACAACAAAAAAAGACAUUCACAAUGAGUUUUGUAACUCUUGAACAACUCUUUUCUCACAAAGAAAGAGGAAAAAGGUUGGACUAUUACGUUUGAAUAAUUCUAUCUCUAACUUGGGCUAACUAAUAUUAAAUGUCUCUUCUUUUUAGAUCAUCUUCCCUUUAGCCCAGAAGUCACAUUGAUGAAGGUAUCUUCAGGACAAGGGAUCGUUAAGCCACCCAUCGGAUGAUCAAACCCAAACACUUCUUCGGAUUUACUG
rnacentral:lncRNA from 1 species